GAGGAAUAUUGGGCAAUGCCCGCAAGGGUGACCCAGCAACGCCGCGUGGAGGCUGAAUGUCGUAAGAUUGUAAACUCCUGUUAGAGGGGAAGACUAGUACCGGUUGGACCGGUAUAUGACUGUACCCUCAGAGAAAGCCCCGGCUAACUACGUGCCAGCAGCCGCGGUAAUACGUAGGCGGCAAGCGUUGUCCGGAUUUACUGGGUGUAAAGGGUGCUCAGGCGGAUUUGUAAGUCAGAGGUGAAAUCUUACAGCUUAACUGUGGAAUUGCCUUUGAUACUGCAGGCCUAGAGUAUGGAAGAGAGUGAUGGAAUAUCUGGUGUAGCAGUGAAAUGCGUAGAUAUCAGAUAGAACACCGAGGGCGAAGGCAGCCACUUGGUCCGGUACUGACGCUAAAGCACGAAAGCGUGGGUAGCAAACA
rnacentral:rRNA from 1 species